ACUACAAACCGUGCUAUCGUCGUCUCUACCUAGUAGAGAGGGAGGAAAGUCCGGGCAGCAUAGAGCAACGCACCGCCUAACAGGCGGGAUUUGUGUAAACAGAUACAGAAAGUGCCGCAGAAAAUAACCGCCUCUACUUGUAGAGGUAAGGGUGAAAAUGUAGGGUAAGAGCCUACGCUUAGCAGUGGUAACAUUACUAGGGGGUAAACCUUGCGUGUUGAAAUGCCAUGUAUACGGUCGCCCGAGGGCUGCUCGCCCGAUUGUCGACCGAGGGUAGGCAGAUAGAGGUGUUGAGUAAUCAACAUCGUAGAUAAAUGGUAGCAAUCUCUACUUGUAGAGAUACAGAACCCGGCUUAUAGGUUUGUAGUUAUU
rnacentral:RNase_P_RNA from 1 species